GUUUCUGGGGGGAAUUCUAAGUUUGGUUACUCUCCUGAUAGACAAUGCAGAGAUUUCCAGUAAAAUGUCGGUGUCGGAAACAAAAUUCCCGUUCAGCUACACACAUGGGAAUAUUUUCACUUACAGCUGGAACAAAUCCAUCUAAUUAGUAACUAAGAUAAAGAUGAGUUUUCCCAAGAGGCUUCUACAAUGUGCUUUCAAGACAUUCUUUCCAACAGUGGAAGAGGCUGAGGUGGCAGUGAGCUGGACAGCAUGCAAAGGAAUAAUUGUGAUGCCCAGGGCCCCCAGUGCCUGAGGAACAGCAACAAUUCACCAUCCUGCAUCUGAUUAGACCAAUUCGCUGACUUGCUGGAGGCUUGGAUGUCAGAUGUUCUAUAAACGAGG